rnacentral:rRNA from 1 species
UACAGAGGGUGCGAGCGUUAAUCGGAAUUACUGGGCGUAAAGCGCACGUAGGUGGCGACGUAAGUCGGGGGUGAAAGCCCCGGGCUCAACCUGGGAAUUGCAUUCGAGACUGCAUUGCUGGAGUACGGAAGAGGAAGGCGGAAUUCCCGGUGUAGCGGUGAAAUGCGUAGAUAUCGGGAGGAACAUCAGUGGCGAAGGCGGCCUUCUGGUCCAGUACUGACACUCAAGUGCGAAAGCGUGGGGAGCAAACAGG